rnacentral:ncRNA from 1 species
UAUCUUCAGGGCAAGGUGUAAUUCCUGACCGGCGGUAAAGCCCGCGACUCUUGCGUAUUGUGAGAUUGAUUUGGUGUAAUUCCAAGGCCGACAGUAUAGUCUGGUAUAAAGAAGAU